AAUCAACGCUGGCGGCGUGCCUAACACAUGCAAGUCGAACGCGAAAGUUCCUUCGGGGAUGAGUAGAGUGGCGUCCGGGUGAGUAACGCGUGGGUAAUCUACCUUCGGGUGGGGAAUAACCCAGGGAAACUUGGGCUAAUACCGCAUAAUGCAGCGGCUCGACAUCGAGACAGUUGUUAAAGCAGCAAUGCGCCUGAAGAGGAGCCUGCGUCUGAUUAGCUUGUUGGUGAGGUAAUGGCUCACCAAGGCUACGAUCAGUAGCUGGUCUGAGAGGACGGCCAGCCACAAUGGCACUGAAACACGGGCCAUACUCCUACGGGAGGCAGCAGUGGGGAAUAUUGGACAAUGGGCGGAAGCCUGAUCCAGCAACGCCGCGUGAGGGAUGACGGCCUUCGGGUUGUAAACCUCUUUCAGUACCGACGAAGCGUGAGUGACGGUAGGUACAGAAGAAGGACCGGCCAACUACGUGCCAGCAGCCGCAGUAAAAC
rnacentral:rRNA from 1 species